rnacentral:rRNA from 1 species
GCCUAACACAUGCAAGUCGAGCGAGAAGGUCAUGACGGAUACUUCGGUUGAAGGAUUGACUGGAAAGCGGCGGACGGGUGAGUAACGCGUGGGUAACCUGCCCUACACACAGGGAUAGCCAUUGGAAACGAUGAUUAAUACCUGAUAACACUGAAGUAUCGCAUGGUACUUCGGUCAAAGAUUUAUCGGUGUAGGAUGGACCCGCGUCUGAUUAGCUAGUUGGUAAGGUAACGGCUUACCAAGGCGACGAUCAGUAGCCGACCUGAGAGGGUGAUCGGCCACACUGGAACUGAGACACGGUCCAGACUCCUACGGGAGGCAGCAGUGGGGAAUAUUGCACAAAUGGGCGCAAGCCUGAUNGCCAGCAACGCCGCGUGAACGAAGAAGG